rnacentral:lncRNA from 1 species
UGAGGGGAGGGUGGGGGGAGGAGGAGGGGGGGGAACACGCCGCUGUGAGGCGUCCACGUGCACUGCUGUGUGUCCUGGUGCACCAGCGUGCACGGUCACGUGUCUUCGUGCACCGUAGUGUGUCCUCGUGCAACACUACGUGGGUCCUUGUGCACUGUUAUUUGUCCUCGUGCACCAUGGUGUGUCCUCGUGCAACACUAUGUGGGUCCUUGCACACCUUAGUGUGUCCUCGUGCACCAUAGUGUGUCCUCGUGCAACACUAUGUGGGUCCUUGUGCACCUUAGUGUGUCCUCGGGCACCAUUGUGUGUCCUCGUGCAACACUGUGUGAGUCCUCGUGCACCAUUGUGUGUCCUCGUGCACCUCAUGUGUCUUCGUGCACCUCUGUGUGUCCUUCUGCACCAUUACGUGCCCUCGUGCAACAUCGUGUGUCCUCCUGCAUCUCAUGUGUCCUCACUCACCACUGUGUGUCCUUGUGCACUGUUACAUGCUCUCGUGCACCACUCUGUGUCCUCGUGUGUCCGCGUGCACUGUUAAGUGUGCUCGUGCGCCUCACAUCACCCUGCGCACCAUUGCACGUCCUCGUGCACCCUCUUGUGACCUCGUGCACCAUUGCGUGUCCUCGAGCACCGUUGUGUGUCCUCGUGCACCAUUACAUGUCUUAGUGCACUGUCGCGUGUCCUCGUGCAACUCAUGUGACCCUGUGCACUGUUACGUGUCCUCGUGCACUCUUGCACGCCCUCGUGCACCACUGUGUCCUUGUGUCGCCGCGCACUCUUACGUGUCCUCAUGCACCCUUGUGUAUCUUCAUGCACCACUGCAUGUCCUCGUGCACCAUUAUGUGCCCUCGUACAGCAUUACAUGUCCUUGUGCACCUCAUGUUUCCUCGUGCACCAUUAUGUGUCCUCGUGCACCCUUUUGCACACCAUUACAUGUCCUCGUGCUCUGUCACGUGUCCUCAUGCACCUCAUGUGACCCUGUGCACCAUUACACAUCCUCGUGCACUCUUGCAUGUCCUCAUGCACCAUUACGUUUGUCCUUGUGCACCUCGUGUGUCCUCGUGCACCAUCACGUCUCCUUGUGCAUCACUGUAUCUCUUCGCGUGCCCUCACGUGUCCUCGUGCACCAUCACACGCCCUCGUCCACCCCUGUAUGUCCUCGUGCACCUCGUGUGCCAUCUCAUGUCCUCGUGCACCUUGUGAGUUGUCGUGCACUCCUGUGCGUCCUCGUGCACCACCUCAUGUCCUCGUGCACCUCGUGAGUCCUCGUGCACCAUCACCUGUCUGCCCCCCCAUCCCUGCAGGCCCUGGUGCACUCACACCCCCAACCCCUCGUGCACCACCACCGUGUCCUCGUGCACAGCCCUGGUGAACCCUCGUGCACACUGCAGCUGAAGCCACCCCGUGCCAGCAGUCGUGCCGCAUCCUCGUGCAUCCCCGUGCGCCGCACCGCCCUCAUCCCUCCCCAUUUUUCCCAAUUC